AUUGAACGCUGGCGGCAGGCCUAACACAUGCAAGUCGAGCGGAGCGGCGGACGGGCGAGUAAUGCCUAGGAAUCUGCCUGGUAGUGGGGGAUAACGUCCGGAAUCGGGCGCUAAUACCGCAUACUAUCAGAUGAGCCUAGGUCGGAUUAGCUAGUUGGUGGGGUAAAGGCCUACCAAGGCGACGAUCCGUAACUGGUCUGAGAGGAUGAUCAGUCAAACUGGAACUGGGAACCGGUCCAGACUCCUACGGGAGGCAGCAGUGGGGAUUAUUGGACAAUGGGCGAAGGCCUACUCCGGCCAUGCCGCGUGUGUGAAGAAGGUCUUCGGAUUGUAAAGCACUUUAAGUUGUGAGGCGUUACCAACAGAAUAAGCACCGGCUAACUUCGUGCCAGCAGCCGCGGUAAUAC
rnacentral:rRNA from 1 species